GACCAACACUCCAAGCUAACAACAGCUUGUUAUUAAAAGAAAAAACAUUUAAUGGUGCUUCAAAAAAGUAUAACGCGGAAAAUGCUUUUGCUUAGAUGUUGAUUACUGUCUAAGAGCUCUGUCAGAUAAUUAUUAUUGACAUGCUCUAAACUAUGAUGUUAUUGUUGUUGGUCAGUGCUUCAGAGCAUUAUGCUGCUGCAUAGGAAAAAAAUAUAUUCAAAUAUUAUCUACACAAGGAAAGGAUUACAACGUCAUGUUAUCUAAACAGUUUCUACUGCAUUGUCACUGGGGGAGCGCAUGGUUUCAUACUAAACUUGCACAGUUAGGUCCUGCAUUGUCACCGAGGGAGCGAAUGAUUUCAUACUAAACUUGCACAGUUAAGACACUAUUUUGUAUUUCCAUUGGACAGCAAUUAGGUAUUUUAGAAAAAGACAUUAAUUUUCUUGUUAUUUCAUUAUUAUUUAAUCCUUAACCAGAAAAAAUAUAAGACCGAACCUAAUAUUUUAGAAUAAGUUAAUAAUAAUGCUAGAUAAAAAAUUUAUUUUAAAUCUUGAGUUUACAAAAAAAAUUUUAAUUAUUGACUUACCAAAAGUAAAUUUUUGAUUUUCAGCCAGUUGGGCAGAUUCCACGGGUAUAUUUUCAAAAUACAACAACGAUUAUUAGUUUUAUAGAUAUAAAGGAAUUUAUUAUUAUUAAAUAAUUCAAUUAUUUCUUUUCAAAUCAGGUUGUAUAUUUGAUUUGUUGGAGCAAAUUGCUGCACACACUCAAAAAUUAUCGCAAUAAAAGUAAAAUAUUUGAGAUUUGGUGUUUUUCUUUUUUUAAUUCAUGGAUGAUUGAUCUGUACACAUUCCAAAAAAAAAUUACAUGAUUUAAA